AGGAACCUGCCUUGGAGUGGGGAAUAACAGCUGGAAACAGCUGCUAAUACCGCAUAAUAUAUCUGGGCCGCAUGGCUCUGGAUAUCAAAGAUUUAUCGCUCUGAGAUGGACUCGCGUCUGAUUAGCUGGUUGGCGGGGUAACGGCCCACCAAGGCGACGAUCAGUAGCCGGACUGAGAGGUUGGCCGGCCACAUUGGGACUGAGACACGGCCCAGACUCCUACGGGAGGCAGCAGUGGGGAAUAUUGGGCAAUGGGCGCAAGCCUGACCCAGCAACGCCGCGUGAAGGAAGAAGGCUUUCGGGUUGUAAACUUCUUUUGUCAGGGACGAAGCAAGUGACGGUACCUGACGAAUAAGCCACGGCUAACUACGUGCCAGCAGCCGCGGUAAUACGUGGGUGGCAAGCGUUAUCCGGAUUUACUGGGUGUAAAGGGCGUGUAGGCGGGACUGCAAGUCAGAUGUGAAAACCACGGGCUCAACCUGUGGCCUGCAUUUGAAACUGUAGUUCUUGAGUACUGGAGAGGCAGACGGAAUUCCUAGUGUAGCGGUGAAAUGCGUAGAUAUUAGGAGGAACACCAGUGGCGAAGGCGGUCUGCUGGACAGCAACUGACGCUGAGGCGCGAAAGCGUGGGAGCAAACAGGAUUAGAUACCCUGGUAGUCACGCUGUAACGAUGGANUACUAGGUGU
rnacentral:rRNA from 1 species